rnacentral:tRNA from 1 species
GUUGGUGUAGCUCAUUGGUAGAGUGCAUGCUCUGUAUGUAUUAUGUCCUCGGUUCAAUCCCCAGCUGCUCCC